CCUUUUCCUAGUUGUUUUAUAUUUGAAAUAAUUUCAUAUAAAACUAAUGAAAAUUUAUAUUAUUAAAAACUAAAAUUUCGAUCUUCAUAGUAAAUUAAAAAGUCAAUAAUACCCAACAAGACCAAAUACUCGUCUUCAUCAAACGCUGAUUUAUUGCGUUGCCCUUAAAACUGCGAAUUCUUUAGGUUUUGCCAUUCUUAUUCUAUCGAUUUAACCACUUAUCCCUUCCUCCUAUCCCUGUUUGUUUCAUAGACAACCAUACGCGUUGAUUUACGCUUCCGAUGUCUGCAUUCGAAGGUAAUCCAUUCGUGAAUUACGUCCGACUUUGUCGGGUGUCUCUUUCGGUUUUAUGGAACGUCGCUUCUUGGUUUAUGAUUUAUAAACUCAUAAAUUGGUCGAAACAAUUACAUGAUUUUAUCACAUAUAUAAAUAUCUAUAGCGUAAUGGGUGUCGUGUCUUCCUGUACCUUGUAUGGUAUUGCUAUGGGAAAUCAUUACAAUGAAGGUUGGCCUAAUUCCAAGUAUGUAAGGAUGAGUG
rnacentral:lncRNA from 1 species